CUCAACGAUGAUGCAUACAUGUCCACUAUGGGUGUUGGGUCCAACAAUUCGCAUUGGUCUCAAACCAAUGACAUCCAUUUCGAAGACCAUGAGUUUGAGGUGGACGAGGAGGGUGAGGGAAUUGUCGAGGCGCCGAGAGGAAGAGAAGGCAAUUACUCCACCACCGAUGACAAGUUACUAUGCUACACUUAUUUGCAUGUGUCGAAGGAUCCAUCCAUUGGAGGUGAUCAAAGUAGAGACGCGUAUUGA
rnacentral:rRNA from 1 species